rnacentral:misc_RNA from 1 species
CCGAGUGAGGGCCCCCGUGCCCGACCUCCAACCCAUUGUGGAACCUCCUUGUUGCCUCGGGGGCGACCCGGCCCUUCGGUGUUGGGGCGCCCCCGGUGGAUCACAUCACAACUCUGCGUCUAUGCGUCGGAGUCGGAAAUGAAAAUGAAUGA